AUGGCAGACAUUCACCAUUUGGAUAAAUUGCAUUCACUUAGGUUCGGGACUAGAUCCGAAGUUAGAAUUUCAUGGUUAAAUAAGCUUUCCAACAUCCUCUUUUUGACUCUAAAAGGCUGCGAGCUGAAAAACCUACCUGAGAGCAUUUGUGUCUUGAAUCAUCUUCGUCACCUUGAUAUAUCUCAUAGCAGAAUAAUUGAGCUACCUGAGUGUUUUCGGUGCCUAUACAGCCUACAAGUUCUCAAUGCUAGUCAUUCAAGACUGAAAACAAUUCCUGAUGGCAUAACAACGCUAGUCAACUUGCGUAAUCUAGCACUGCCAGGGAAUGCCUCACAUAAUUUGUCAACAAAAAGUGGUCUUGGAAAUUUGUGUUCUCUGCGGAACUUGAGCUAUUUUACGGUUGGAGAAGGUAAUGGGAGGAGAAUUAGUGAGUUGAAGAACAUGAAUCAGCUGAGAGAAAUGCUAUCUAUUAAAUCUUUUGCUAACGUUCAGACUAUGGAAGAAACUGCCGAGGCUAGAAUUGUUGACAAGCAAUACCUUAAGGUAUUAAUUAUACAUUGGCGACAAUGUAGAUUCUUCCUGAAGGAACAUGAACAUGACAAUAGCAAUACACUCGAAGGCUUGCAUCCUCAUUCAAGAAUUGAACGUCUUGUACUUGAAGGCUUUCGGUUUGAUAACUUAGCUCCAAGUUGGUUAACUCCUGAAAACCUACCUUCAUUAAGAAAUCUAGAUCUUUCCCAUUGCAGCUUGAAAUAUUUAUCAAUGCCACUUUGUUUUCCCAUCACUACUCUGCGCCUUUCCUGGUGUUGUGGUCUGAGAAAUCUUGAUCAGUGCCUGGACCCAGAACAUUUGCCAUUUGUCCAGUCAAUAGAGCUUGAUUGGUGUCCAAAUCUAGUAUCGGUCCCUGUGCACAGUUUUGUGGGUUUUGUUUUCCUUCAAGAUCUGAGAAUCCACCAGUGCUUCAAGUUGGCGUGCCCUAGGGAAAUGGUUUUGCCCCCUGCACUCAGAAGACUUUCUGUUUCCUUUUGCGGUGAGCUUGGCAAUUCAUUUCCAGAUUGCUUGGAGAAUCUCAACUUUCUCACCCUUCUGCAUUUGGAAGCGUGUCUCACUAUAAGGCUCAUUCGAUUGAACUCGAUCAACACAAACAUGCUAAGUUGUCUGGUUCUUCGUCAUUGCUCGGAACUGUCAUCCAUCGAAGGAUCUAGCGCUCUUCUAUACAUGAAGUAUGUUGACAUAUUGAGCUGCCCUAAGCUCACAGGGAUAAGCCAACCAUUCAAAAGGAAUAAACUGGAGAAAGUAGAGGAGACAGAACUGCUAGAAUUUAUCAAACCACGCAAGGAAUGA
rnacentral:rRNA from 1 species